rnacentral:lncRNA from 1 species
AGACAGAAGAAUAAAUACUUAAAGUUAUUUGCUAUAAGUUUUCUUUGUAGGCAGAUAAGAAGCCAAAGAUCUGUGAAACAUGUCAGAACACUCUCCUUAAUUUUUUUUCUGUAUACGAAGAGAAUAUCUAGAUGUAUAUACAUCUGUUUAUAGUUUCGUAGCGAAAUGCUUAAAAACCGUUGUUUAGUUACUUUAAUUCAUCUCGAAGCCUACGAGUUCAUUCCGUGUGAUAUAUACUUAUUUUUCAAUUACUCAAUCAUGCUGCCAACAAACGCAUAUUAUGUAAUUAAUCAAAAACAUUGAAUGCAUCCAUUGUAUUAGUUAUUUCAGGUUUUGUGAGUUCAGUGUGUGGCUCACGUGUUUGUUAAAUUAAUUCUACUAUAAGAUAACUGGUAAUUUAUGUACGGUACCGUACUUAUAUUUUCCCAGGAGAGGUUAUUCUAAAAAAAACAAAAAACAGUUGGCGUUGCUAAUAAGGAACGGUCUUUCCACAUUGCCGAAUUUUAUUUUUGAGGUGGUAUUUAUCCAGUUUGUUAUUCGAAAGUAUCCAUUGCAGAAAUAUACGAAAAGGAUAAAACUGAAUUCUCUCCUAUAGAAAAUCGCGGAAAAGAUGUAUCUUCUUUUCAUGACGUUAUUAUUUAUAGUCAGAACGAAGACAGCAAGCUGGCAGAAUCGUUACCGCGCCGUACAAAAUGCUCGGUGACAUUUCGCCCAUUUAUACGUUCUGAGUUCAAAAUUCCAUCGAGGUCCAUAAAAUAAGUUCUAGUCGAAUACUGGGGUCGGUGUAAGCCAUUUAUCUUUUUCCCCGAAAUUGCUGGCCUUGUGCCAAAAUUUGAAACCGUUGCUAUAGUCAGAAUUUAAAACUUUUCAGUUGUGCACAUAUCAACUGUCAUUCUCUUUUACAGUCUGGCUUUUAAAAAUGUUUCUGUUUACACUUUAAGAUACCGUAUAUAUUGUGACAAUGACGUUGGGCAACUUAUCAUCGUGUUUGUAAAUGAAUGGAUAUAUUGUUCAUAUCAGGCAUUGACUGUAAUUUCUGUCUACCCUAUUUAUACAAUUUUAAUUCCAUCUGUUAUUCCACUUCAGGUGUAUAAACUAGUACCGUUGAUAGAGAGGAGAUCAAUGUAUUUCUGAAUUCGCAUUCAAGUUGAGAUCAAAGAGUGCUACUAGAUUUUGUUAUUGAUAAAAAUGUGUAAGCACAUAAUGUAUUUCAAAAAUAUUAAAUGCGUCUAAUAUCGUUUACAUAAGGUUAACAGUAAACACCUUCAAAAUCUGUUCUAUACAACAUAUUAAUGAAUCAUCUGAACCCACAAAUGUAAUUUCACAGUACUCUCACAUUAUAUAUAGAAUCUUAAAAACAGAGGCGUGAACAAUGCCAUUAGAAAGUGGCUCAUCGUCGAAAGUUCUAUAGCGUAGAAUAGGAACGACAAACUGUGCAGCCUAUGUAACAACAACAACAAAAAUUUAAAAAACUGCCAGUAUAUGCAUGUAUGUAUGUAUGUAUGUAUGUAUGUAUGUAUGUAUGUAUGUAUAGAUCAGUACAUUAAUAUAAUUGUUAGACCAUUGGAUAUAACACUUUACUGGAUUAAUGUACCGUCUCUUACGUUCAAGUCGUACUGAAGGCAAAAUUGAGUUUCCUGCUUCUGGGAUCAAUUAAAAUAAGCACCAGUUUAGUGCUGGAAUCGAUAAAAUCGACUGUUUCUUAUUCAGAAGAAAUCAAUGUGAUCGAUCAAUGUGUCAAGAGAUAUCUCCGAUCUCUGAAUAACCAUACAAUUGAUUAUUUAUUGUAUGGAUAAAUGAUUAGUUGUAAUAAAAUAUGUUGUUUCGUAGUCGAUUUAGUUCUUUGUAUAAGAAUGUGUCCCAUACAAAUCAUAGUGAUAGAUUCUGUCUUCUUGCAAGUUAUACACACGGUAAUACUUCAAUUCAGUAUUACACAAUGAAUUAGUUAUGUAAUGCUGUCACUGUUUCUAGCUUGGAAGAUUGAUAUAAGAUUUGAUAUCUUCAUAUAACGUAUUUUUUUCCUCAUGUAUGCCGGCGUUGGGCAUAGUGUAAAUAUGUAUAGUAUACAUUCAAAUAUUGUCUUUUCAAAAUCCUGCUGUAUUUUACAUCGAUGUUUUUGUCCCCCAAAGUCGUUUUCGUGUAUAAGUGGACCUACCUUUUUUAGCUGUAAAUUUGGGCUUGAAAAAUUUAAUUUGUAUGUCGGAGAAUACAGUAUACCUGAAAGGCGAGUGAACAUUGAAAAUUGAAUAAAUAUCAGAGAUGGUAGAAGAGGGCCAUCAAUAAAUAUAAGACGCAAAGUAAAACUGUUUCAUUCGCUCUUUUCCUAUUUAUAAAUUCAUCUUUCUGUCUUUGGUCUGAGAACCUGUUAUAUUUUUUUGCUGAAUCAGGAAGAAAGGGCCGUGUCCAGGGCCUACACUAUCCCGAGAUCGAUGUGCUUAAUGUUCCUCAAAAAGUCGCAAUUUGACAGCUACAGGAAAAAUAUGAACAGGAAAGGAAUUCCAAGGGGACAACAUACAUUGGAGGAAGAACUCUGUGUAGGGAAAGGUAACGAGGUAGGAUUUGAUGAACCCCUAAUAUGUGUGGGGAAAGGAAAAGAAAUUAUUUAGUUGGUAGCAAGGCUGGGGUUGGCAUGAGCUGAUCUAGCAGCACUCUAAUAGCGGCAGAAAAGGCAGAGACAUGAGACAGAAUAUCUGUGGGCCAAAAGUUGUACAUUUUUGGCGACCUAUUUCAUGUCACUCAAUACAAUAGGUUUUAGAUGCAAUUUGGGAUGUUUAUACAUUUGCCAUAUCAACACCUACCCAUUAAUUGGAGUAAUAUUCAUUCGUGGGUCACGAAGUUUGUGGAGAUUUAGAAAUUUUGGGUAAGAAGAGGAGAAAUGUCUUCGAAAAUCGAUUAACCCUUUAGUGUUCGCAUUAUUCUGCCAAAAUUAAUCCUUUUUUACCCACAUUGUUUUGAACUAAUCAUUCAUUAUCUUGUAGCUAUGAGAUUUUGAUGAGGUAGCUGUUAAUUUUUUAAAAGAUAUUGUAGGGUUGGUGUGAGAGACCAGAUCUGACCAGUUUGAACAUAAAACAGGCAUCAUACUUUAGGCCAGACAUGGUCGGUUUAAACACUAAAUGGUUAAGGUUGUUCUUCAUUUUUUCAGUCUGCGGUGAAAGGGCUAAAAUUUGCCCUGUUUAUAUAUGUUACCAUAUAUUACAUAUAUUUACUUUCAUGGAGUUGCCGCACCAGGGAUGUAAAAGAUCCCCCACCCAGUUAUUUACCUUUAUGUACUCAGGUGUGCAUAUGAAUACAUACUCUUUUUCUUUUUCGUUUGUUUAUAAUUUUCAUUAUCUUAACCCCCUCUCCCCUUUAUACACGAAUUCUCGAACAUUUACGUAGUAUACAUGUAUACAGACAGAGACAUAAAUACUUAUUUCUUUACUAUCCACAAGGGGCUAAACACAGAGGAAACAAACAAGGACAGACAAACGGAUUAAGUCGAUUAUAUCGACCCCAGUGCGUAACUGGUACUUAUUUAAUCGACCCCGAAAGGAUGAAAGGCAAAGUCGACCUCGGCGGAAUUUGAACUCACAACGUAACGGCAGACGAAAUACCGCUAAGCAUUUCGCCCGGCGUGCUAACGUUUCUGCCAGCUCGCAGACGUAAAUACUGUGAUACUUCACAUAGACACACACACACAUACAACCAUAGGUACAAAACCCACGCUUACACACACAUACGCACAAACCUUCAUACGUACAAAAUCUAUAAAUACAGUCGUGCGGCCGUUGAAAACAAACUCGAAAUCUCUGGUAAUGUUGGUAAAAAUAUUACAUUAUCCUCAAGCAAAACAAAACUUACUGGAUAUGGGACGUUGGUUGCACCAGUGAUCCAUGACAAAGUCCGUGGCCUUCGGUGUCUCUUACAAAGACCAAGAAAGUUAUUAAUUAUUCGUAGAUAAGAUAAUAUAAAUUAUAAAUUAAUUAUAAAUGAUUCUAGAUGCAGGCGUGGCUGUUUAAUAAGCUUGCUUCCCUACUACCUGUUGCGGGUUUAAUCCUAGCAGGUGGCAUCUUGGGUGUCUUCUAUAACAGUCCUGGGUCAACCAAAGCUUUGUGUGUGGAUCUGGAAGAUGGAAACUGAAAGAAGCCCAUCGUGUAUAUAUUAUAUAAUGCAUAGUUAAUUUCUCGAUUUAAAAUCUUUAUGGUUUAGUGUGUAGUAUAAUGCAAUAAAAAAAUGUUAUAUUUGGUGGGUCAUGAAGUUGUCCUGUCCUUAAAACAUUUUGUGGACAAACUUCUGAAAAAGCUUGUACGUGUCUAUAUUAGACAACUUACUGUUACACACACACACAUACACAUACACACACACACACGGAGGCGAACAUAAUACACUUACACAUACAUAGACAUACUGACACACUCACAACUAUACCUAACACGUAUAAUAAACAAAAAUUACAUUUCACUUCAUUAUACGUAAAGAAAUUAGACGUAAACAAAACGACACCGGGUGUCACUCGGUAGUGGAGGACAAACAUGACAACACACACACAAACACGCACACACACACACACACACACACACACACACACACACACACACACACACACACACACACACACACACACACACACACACACACACACACACACACAUAUAUAUAAAGUUAAUCCAAACAAGAAAGCACAAAAAAACACAACAACGCGAGGACGUGGAACAAAUAUAGUAUUAUUGGACGCUCAGGAAGGAAGGGAAGAAGGAGGGUUUAACGUUUCGAGUGGAACUCUUCGUCGGAAACGUAGGAGAAGGGAAGACAGAGGAAAAAAAUCGCCAACGGUACACAGGAGGUCACAGGGGGCUUCUUCACAGUUUCCAUCUACGAAAUUCACUUAUAAGGCACUAGUCGACUCGGGGCUAUACUAGAAGACACUUGGCCAAGGUGUCACGCAAUGGGACCGAACCCGAGACCACGUGGUUACAAAGCGAGUUUUUUUAACCACACAGCCAGGCCUGCAUGUUUUUGACAGUCUGCGCAGCAACAAUUUCUGCAUUUGGCAUCUUCAACUGGCAAGGGCAACAGCAGCAGCAUAAGCUAGAAGAGCAACAAUAAAAAUAGCAGUAGUAACAACAACAACAACAACAAUAUUAAUAGUUGUUUAAGUUGUAGUAGCAACAGCAGCAGCAGCAGCAGCACUAUCGUAAGCAGCAGCUUCUGGAACCAGUGUAACAGCAACAGCAGCACUAUAAGCAGUUGCGCAUGCAGAAGCAACCAAACUACUGCAUUGGUCCUGAUUGCAUUAUUGAUUACGACAGGUUGUGCUGUGUUAGAGAGAGACAGGUGUGGGAAUGACACGUGUAGAACAAUGAAUGGUUGUUGCUGUGAUUGUGGCUGGGAUUGUUGUUUGUUGUUUGUUUAUUGCUGCUAUUACGGCUGUUGUUGCUGUUGUUGUUGUUGUUGUUGUUGUUGUUGUUAAUGCUGUCGUUGUACAGGUCAGUCCCGAUAGAGGAAAACAUUACUUUACAACCGAAUACAUUCCACCUUUUUUUAACAAUCUCGUCUUUUUAUUAAAACUAUUAAAAAACACAAUGAGUCUAAGACUCCAUCGGUUUUUUUCCGGUAUGAUUUGAGGGAGACUUGGUUCCUAUUUCUACUCUAUCCACCGACCACGUUGUGUCUCCUUCGUUUACUCAAUGAAUGGGUUUUCUUACUGUUAUUAGUAUUGUUAAUGUUAUUGUUGUUGUUGUUUAGCCCAAGGCCAACCCUGAUCGAGCAGGCCUAUGAUCAGAUGCAUUACAGUUGUGACGGUAGAGCAGAGGCCAUUGACAACUUUUCUCUAUUGUUCCCGAUCUUGAGGCUGGAGGCCUUUCUCUCUUUCUCUCCCCCCCUAUAUAUAUAUAUAUAUAUAUAUAUAUAUAUAUAUAUAUAUAUAUAUAUAUGUAAGUAUGUGUAUAUAUAUAUAUAUAGGGGGAGAGAAAGAGAGAGAAGGAGACAGUGAAGGAGAGAGAAAGAAAGAGAACCGAAUAGUGUAAAAUGGAACAAACGAAGCAGUGUUGGAGAGGUUAAUUAAGUGAGCAGGCAAACCAAAUCUGCCAUCCCGAUUCAACUUCUAUUUUUAACUAUUUUGAUAUUUCACGAACUCGAUCAAAAUUCGAGGAAAAUAUAUGAAUACAGCGAAUCAUAUUUCUCCACCAUUUCUUCUGGCCAGUAGAAGUGAUCAGCAACUCAUUGGUAGAUACCGUUGAUCAUAAAAGGUCAUUCUGUUUACUCUUAUCAGUGAAUCGAUUGACUAGUCAACAGCUCAAAACUCGACACUAGUGAAGCACUUCGCAGUAUUCACUCUCAAGUUCAGAUGUCAAAACUAUAUUCUAAUGGCGCGAAAGAGGCAUUAUUAAUACUAAAAGGUAAUUUUGAUCCGCAGCUUAACGUGGAGUUUGUGUUAGAAUACAAAACGAUGCGUUAUUUACUUUGAGAGGAUCUCUCAUAUGGAUUCGUGGUGCAUAAAAAAAAAAAAAAAACACUCGUAACUAUAUCGCUGAGAGAUGAGAAUCGUCUGCUACGGCUGCCGGAAUUGACAAAUCACGUAAUUUCACCCUGCUAUAGGCUCCUCAGUGACAGAUGUCUAGUAGCGGCAUAACAGCUGAAACACCCCUCAACGAUAUAUACAAUAUCAGAGACUAUUUAGGCACUGCUAUCGCAAAUAGACUAAAUUUGUGGAAGCAGUUGAUGCAUCAAAUAACUAAAGUGUCCAUAACUAAAGCAAAGAAUAAAUCAACGGGAAGCAAAUCUAUGUAUUUAUUAUUCUUUCAACAUUCUGUACUUAAAUGCCAGCCUGAGAGUUUCAUCGUGGUCACUUGACUUGCUAUUAAUAGCAGAUAAAUCUCCUUCAAACCUCACGUUGCUAUCUUUUGAAAGAUGAUGUAUUUGAAUAUGCAGCCCGGGUUACACUGAAGUUGAAAUAAUAAUAAUAAUAAUAAUAAUAAUAAUAAUAAUAAUAAUAAUAAUAAUAAUAAUAAUGAUAAUAAUGAAAAUAAUAAUAAUAAUAAUAAUAAUAACAAUAAUAAUGAUAAUAAUAAUAAUAAUAAUAAUAAUAAUAAUAAUAAUAAUAAUAAUAGUAAUAAUAAUAAUAAUAAUAAUAAUGAUAAUAAUAAUAAUAAUAAUAAUAAUAAUAAUAAUAAUAAUAAUAAUAAUAAUAAUAAUAAUAAUAAUAAUAAUAAUUAUAAUAAUGUUCUGAUACAGUACCAGGCAGUGGCUCUCAUGGCUUCUGAUCUUAACUGAUUGGAAGUCUUAUCAUAUACAUUGCUUUUGUCUUGAUAUAAAAGAUGGGCUACAACAAAUAUUCUGCUCAAUGCCACAGAUUUGCGUGUCAGUUGUUUGACCUUAACUUGUUGAGCAUGUCUCUUAGUGGCUGACGAUGUGUGCAUCUCUGAUCACGAGCAGAAGUAGUGGGGGAGCAUCGUAGCCAUGUGUUGAGAGGAAUUCUUUGGAAACAUGGGUGUUUUGUUCAUCAUCCUUAAAGAACCCUUAUUCAGGAACCUUUUGAGUAGGAUGAGCUACUCGACCAGAAGAAAAUUCUAACUGGGCUCCACCUGCAAGGUCAUGUGCUGUUUAUCUUGAUAUGAGAUCACCAUGUCGCGCACAUAUGGUUGUGAUGCAUGUGCCUGGUGUACCCUUAUCAGACAGGUAGUCAUGAUGGGUAUACUGGGCUUCGUAUAUUUUACCCCAGUGUCACAUUGAUGGCAUGCACUGCUCUCUCACUCAAUAAUAAUAAUAAUAAUAAUAAUAAUAAUAAUAAUAAUAAUCAUAAUAAUUUCAUUUAUUUGCCACAAGGUCGAAGGUUGAGGGGAACAAUACAAAGACAAAGUGUGCUAAUAAUAAUUGGAAUAGUAAUAAUAAUAAUAAUAAUAAUAAUAAUAAUAAUAAUAAUAAUAAUAAUAAUAAUAAGGGUUUCAAAUUUUAGACUCAAGGCCAGCAAUUUUAGGAAGGGGGAAGUCGAAUACAUCGCCCCCAUUGCUCGACAAGAUUUCACAUUUAUUUACUGUGAUUCUCUCAUACUUUGGCAGUUCUGUGAUUUAUCUGCAAUCAAAACGCUUCGUUAGGGGUGUUUAAUAAAACCGAAACAUGUCGGGAGUUCUCCCCCAUACUUGUCGAAAAUAACUGAAAUGAUAAAUUUGCCAUUGAGUUAAUGUUGCUCUUUUUUUCCCUCCUAACGGGCACAAUUAUUUUUCUAAUUAUUUUUAAACACUUUACUGUUUAUUAACGCUAUUUUCUAAUUAAUUUCAUGAUUAGCGUUAACACAUUAACUAUGCAGUUUCUGGUAUUACUCGAUGGUCUAAGUGUUCAAGACGGUAUUGUAUGUUGCGAGGGUUAAUUGCUUGCAAUUUCUAGCUGGCUAGGUGACAAUUUCGAGGCUCUCUCAUUGGUUCGUUCAUCUUCCAGUAAACUGCAUACAUAAUUUGAUACGAAGAAGGAUUCGCUGGAAUUCGAGCAAUAACUGCACCGGAAGUUAACAGCAAUUUUGUCUCAUUCAUUCAUUCGACCGUUCGUUCAGGAAAUCAUUCAUUCAUUCAUUCAUUUAUUCAUUCGUUCGCUUAGGCAUUCAUUCGUUCGUUCGUCCAUUCAUUUAGUUAUUUGUUCGUUCAGGCAUUCAUUCAUUCAUUGAUUCAUUCAUUCCCUUGUUCACUCACUCAGACAUUCUUUCGUCCGAUCGUUCGUUCGUUCUUUUAUUAUUCAUUCAUUCAGUCAUACGUUCGUUCAGGCAUUCAUUCAUUCAGUCAUUCGUUGAUUCAUUCAUUCCCUUGUUCACUCACUCAGACAUUCUUUCGCCCUUUCGUUCGUUUGUUCCUUUAUUAUUCAUUCAUUCAGUCAUACGUUCGUUCAAGCAUUCAUUCAUUUGUCCGUUCCUUCAUUCAUUCAUUCCCUUGUUCACUCACUCAGACAUUCUUUCGUCCGAUCGUUCGUUCGUUCCUUUAUUAUUCAUUCAUUCAGUCAUUCAUUCGUUCAGGCAUCCAUUCAUUCAGUCAUUCAUUGAUUCAUUCAUUCCCUUGUUCACUCACUCAGACAUUCUUUCGUCCGAUCGUUCGUUCGUUCUUUUAUUAUUCAUUCAUUCAGUCAUACGUUCGUUCAGGCAUUCAUUCAUUCAGUCAUUCGUUGAUUCAUUCAUUCCCUUGUUCACUCAAUCAGACAUUCUUUCGCCCUUUCAUUCGUUCGUUCUUUUAUUAUUCAUUCAUUCAGUCAUACGUUCGUUCAAGCAUUCAUUCAUUUGUCCGUUCCUUCAUUCAUUCCUUUAUUCGUUUGUUCAUUCAUUCAUUCAUUCAUUCAUUCAUUCAUUCAUUCGCUUGUCUUUCCAUUCUUUCAUCCAUUCGUUCAUUUAUUCAUUCAUUCUUUCCUUCUAGUAUUCCUUAAUUCAGUUAUUCUUGUUUGAUAAGUUUAAAUCACGGAAUGUAAGGCAGCAGUCUAUUAUAUUGAUAGUUGGCCUGGAGCUAUUCAAUCGUUCUUAUUUUGAUCUUGCUCCACUCAGCAGUCAUGUAUCCAAGUUAAUGGCUUUUACGCGCGCCUUGCGUGUGCGUCCGUGUGCAUAAGCGUGUUAAUGUGGUGCGAAAGUGUUCGCAAAAUUAAAAUGAAUGUACUUGACUUACUCCCAUAUAAAUGUACUUGCCAACACGCUCGAGCUAUUCGUCUUUAAUCUCACUUUGUUUCUCGUGUCAUAACUUGAGAAAAGAAAAGCGGCGAGCUGGCAGAGUUGUUAGCACGCUGGACGAAAUGCUUAGCGGUAUUUCGCCCUGAUUUCUUAACGAAUAUUUUGGUCGUUGUCAUUUGUCUUCUGGUCUAUUCCAAGCUCUGGUAGCGUUACAUUGAGAAUAUCUGGCAACAAACUUGCUUCGCAUCCUAAUUUUCUGAAAAACGCAGAGAUUUGCGGGGCAGUAUUCAUAGAGUGCUAUUUCCAUCCACUUUCUGCAAGUUUUCCAGAGUAGAAUCUCCAAAUCAAAACUGAUUUAUGAUCAUAAUGCUACUCUUACAGUUCUCUUAAAUGCACAAACGUGUGUGUGUAUGUGUGUGUUAUAUAAUUACACACACACACACACACAAACACACACACACACACACACACACACACAUACACGUACUCACGCACACACGCCCACUGUUGUAAUAGAACAUACGGACUUCCAUGAGUAAAUUUCUUCUAUAUAGACAUUGUGGCAUACAAUGCCUCGGCACGAGGCGAUCGUGUUGAUAGACUCAGUUAAUAUUUCAAAUCUGAUUUAAUUCUGGCUUCUGCUAAGUCAAGAGGAUAUCUUUGCUUGCGUUAGGUGAAGAUCCAAAGUCUUGUGUUCUAUGUAACAACCCACACAUGCAUGCAUAUACACACAUACAAACACACAUAUAUAAAUAUACACAUACUCAACUCACAUACAAACACACACACAAACACACACACACACACACACCGAGGCACAGCCACAGAUAUAUACAAGUAUCCUGGUAUUCGUGAGAGUACUGUAAAGCGAAUCGAUAAGUUAUUAGAGAACAAUCUGAGUGGUCGCCAAUUCGUAUUCACAAAGCAACACUGCCUUAUGUCCAUGGUCAAUAAAUUUAGCUAUUAAACCGAUGUCUUCAACUGGCUGAAAAUCGGUGCUGCAGAGUAAGAAUUAAUCAUUAGUGUAGGCAGUAGUUUCACAGGGAAAUUGAUGUGUAUUUUGUGAAUAGUGAGAGUAGCCUGAGGAGAGAUACGAAGCAAUACUGAACGAAAAUAAAUUCUUUACUGAUUUUCAUAUGACCAAUGGUUAUGUGGGUUAAAUAUCACCACUAUAUAUGUGCAUAGUUAUAUGUUUAUUUAUACGCGCGUAGAAGGCUUUAGCGUUGCUGAUGUAACUGGUUGGAAAUUACGAAAAAGCUCUCAACAAAUGGAAUAAAUAUUUCAUCUCUCCUUUCUAUGAAUUUUAGUUGAUUAAUAUACAUUCUUCGCCAAUGUGAUUCCUGAAUUUUCAGAAGGAUGGUGACGUUGUUUUUAUACCCUAAUCUCAACAUAGAGUUAGGUAAAAGAUGAGUUCAUUGUGAGCCAACGGCCAUCCAGUUGGGGAAGGCAAACUACCCCCAAUAUCUCUGUCAAGAAAACACUGACAAAGUCAGUACGACGUGAUGCUAUGGUUUUAUCCUAUGAACUGGGAUUACUUUUGUUAUAGUAUCAUCAACGUACUGCAAAAGCAUCCGAUCUAUUGUGACGGUGGUGAAUCUCAAUUACUGCCUUUCUUCAUAGCCGGAUGCUUGGCGAAGAGCCUACUGUGAGUUCCGUUUGAUUCUUUGAAUCCCUAUUCCUUUUGUGCGUAUAUAUAUAUAUAUUUGAGUGUGUGUGUGUGUGUAUAGCAUUGCUCUGGAGCCUCAACUCCUCGAUGGAAACGUGGAGGCACCGACGUGGAAUAAGGCAUGUCUUAGACAUGGCGGAUCCCAUCGCUUUCGCUCCAGAUUUGACCACGGCCAGUUUCUUCCAGAAGAAAGUCAGGCAGACAGAGAUAAAGAAAAGAAUUGAUUCUUCCCUAUAACUAGUGCAGUCGGAACGAUUACCGCAAAGCACUGCAUCCAAAACUCUAGCAACUCUGACAAUAAGCCCCCACCACCAACACACACAUGCGCAUGCACGCUCACCUCCCUCCCUCCUUCUCUCUCUCCCUCUAUCUCCUCGUCUCUCUCAGACAAAUUCAUUUUCAAUAACUGCGUAAAUAUUCACUAACUCAUUUUUUAGCGGAAGAAUAUAAUCCAUUUAAUCGGUAUCAGUAAAUUACUGGUACGUAUUUUAACUUAAAAGGUGACAUGAAUGUUUGUCGACAGGUUCAGUAUUUCAAGGGACUCUAUACUGACACUAAACUAGAUAUAUGUAUAGCGACCUGCGUGCAUAUACUUGUUUAAGCUGUGGAUGCACUUUAUUUUUUUACUUUUUUCAGUCAUUUGACUGCGGCCAUGCUGGAGCACCACCUUUAGUCAAGCAAAUCGACCCCGGGACUUAUUCUUUGUAAGCCCAGUACUUAUUCCAUCGGUCUCUUUUGCCGAACCACUAAGUUACGGGGACGUAAACACACCAGCAUCGGUUGUCAAGCAAUGCUAGAGGGACAAACACAGACACACAAACAUACACACACACAAACACAAACAUACACACACACAUACACAUACAUAUUUACAUAUAUACGACAGGCUUCUUUCAGUUUCCGUCUACCAAAUCCACUCACAAAGCAUUGGUCGGCCCGAGGCUAUAGCAGAGGACACUUGCCCAAGGUGCCACGCAGUGGGACUGAACCCGGAUCCAUGUGGUUGGUAAGCACUGUAUAAUUAACGUGCCUUUUGUUAUUCUAAUUAGAAGGAAAUGCGCACCGCUUGGCAGGAUUACCUUUGAUGCUCGCAUUAAACUAAAGUUCAUUUAGUUGUUCCUACGUUCCGCAACCUCUCAUAACAUCCGAGGAAUAAACUAUUUUACAUUAAUUAAGCAGAAAGCUCUAGAUUUAGGGAAGUGAUAACAUGUGACAUCCAUAUGUUUCACAAAGGUUGCAUCUUUCAUAAAAAAACAAUGGCACUCUCUACUAUAUUGUGAGAUUACUGUUAUACAUCUCUGUGUGCAAAUGAGGUAAUUUGGUACAGUUUUAGAUUACUGUAUACUCUAUGCCACAUAAAACAAAAAAUAUCGCCAAAAAAAUAUGUUCUUCCCUUUCAUUAUGUAGUCUAUCGCUAUUGCAAUGGUCUCUGAUCUCCUACUUCUCUGAGUUAGUUGAUUGCAUGUCACUUCCAGCUGGGUCUCUGCAUCUUAUACCUGAGUAUACCUCUCUUACUCUCCUGACUUCUUCUCUGUCUCAUCAUCCAGACUCUACGUUUCUUUUCCCCACAUCACUAACUCCCUGGAAUCACCUCCCACACUACUGUAUUUCCUGGAGAUGUUGAUUUUCACCAGUCUUAGAGAAUCUGUGAAGGUAAUGGACACGAUUUCAUGCUUUUGACUAAAUCGCAAAACAUGGGGGAUUUAUAAGCGAGUACUGCUCUUCGUCUCCAAAUAGAUUCAAGUUGCAAUUUACACUCUUCCCGCCUUAGUUCAGGUUGAAUUUCAAAGAGUGGGACUUUCUUGAUAAUAGAGACGUUAACAUCCGCUAUAAUAUAGACAAUGCGCAUUAAUCUUCAUCUCAUAUCAAUAUGAAAGAGGACUGUUAUACGAAAGAAAGGAAGUGUUAACCAGGAAGGAAAUGUUAGUAGUUAGCCUCAAAAAAAUCGAUAGAUCGAUCGGCGAAUAGACUAAUUUGUGCGAAAGAUAUGUUUAUCGACAACCACAUAUCAAAUGUAAGCAACUAUAUCUAUGCACAUACAGUUAUAAGGCGUAUAAAGGUAUAUAAACACAUUGUCAAGGAGAAGUGGAACAUUUAACCCAAGCAUCGCUCACUCACAUACAAACAGAUGAUGGCUGAAACUUGAUUUUGAACAAUGCAAUCGAUUCAUUGUUCGAUUAAAACAACACUGAUAUGGUUUUUCAAUUCUACUUAACCAUCACUCUUUUGUACAAUUAAACAUGUGGCAACGAUGGGCGCCUCUUGCAGCAGGUGAGUUACUAUCCACUCUGGCGCAUAGUUUUAUUCCAUCACGGGAUUUUUCAUUGAGUGUUUUAUCUAUUUCGGUUACGGUCAGCAAUAAUAUGCAAUACAUAAUAAAAACAAUAAAUAUCAAACAAUGCCUGAGCACGAAGCUUUCUGCAGUAAGAAAAGGCCUUGAAAAGGGCCAAUCCUGCUCUCUGAAAAAAAAAAAAAAACUCGUAUGCAUUUACUCCCGAAAUAACAAGUCAACAUCAAUGGGCGUAAGUGCAGUCACAGGUGUAACACCAAAGUUUUCCUUCUCUUAGAAAGAUGUCUAAACAGAGAUUUGGAGUCUCUUACUCCUAUCUAUUGGGUGGCCUUAGACUCUACUGAAUUCAUCCGCGCUGGUAGUUUUUGUUUUUCGUCCUGCAGGUCAUCCAACGAAAACAAACUCUCUUUACUGAGGAGGCUUGGCAGGUAAAAUCGCUGAUGGCUCGACCAUGUGAUACAUGGCACUGGACUACAUGUUACUAGCAGCACUAGGAGUAUGCACACACACACGCGCGCGCACACACACACACCUGCGCGAGCGCACUCUCUCUUAUACACACAUAUAAAGGUGGAUUUUCUUAUUGCUUCUCUCAAAACAAUGGCAUGUUAUGUAUUCAUUAGACAUAUCGGCCUAGGAGUGGCUGUGUGGUAAGUAGCUUGCUUACGAACCACAUGGUUCCGGGUUCAGUCCCACUGUGUGGCACCUUGGGCAAGUGUCUUCUACUAUAGCCUCGGGCCGACCAAAGCCUUGUGAGUGGAUUUGGUAGACGGAACCUGAAAGAAGCCCGUCGUAUAUAUGUAUAUAUAUAUGUAAUAUAUGUGUGUGUGUGUAUAUAUCUUUGUGUGUCUGUGUUUGUUCCUCCAACAUCACUUGACAACCGAUGGUGGUGUGUUUACGUCCCCGUAACUUAGCGGUUCGGCAAAAGAAACCGAUAGAAUAAGUACUAGGCGACCAAAGAAUAAGUCCUUAGGUCGAUUUGCUCGACUAAAAUGCGGAUGCUCCAGCAUGACUACAGUCAAAUGACUGAAACAAGUAAAAGAAUAAGAGUAAUUAGCAACUCACUCAAAUGCAAGUUUUCGUUUAUGCGCCAUUUGUCGUCGCCUGUCGCCUGUCCGUUGAGAAACAGUUUCAAAGCUUCACAGGAAAAUACAAAGAGAAUUCAGUUAAAUGUAAAUACAUUGUCUAUUUUCUAUCAUUUCUGUGUUAUACUUGUUUAAGUCAUUGGACUCUGGCCAUGCUGGGGCACCGCCUUGAAAUAUUUAGCAGAAUAAAAAUCGAGCUCUGUGCAUAAUUUUUAAAAGCCUGAUAUUUAUUCUAUCGGUCACUUUUGCCGAACCGCCAGGUUGUGAAGACUUAAAAAAAUGUUGACAAGUGGUGGUGUUAGUGGUGGUGGUGGAGGACAAACACAAACACAAAGACACUCAUGCAUAUAUACUCACAUGCAUACACACAUACUCACAAUACUCAUACAUACAUGCAUAAAAUCACACAUACACACACACACAUACGCACACAUAUAUAUUAAUACAUGACGGGCUUCCUCACAGUUUCCGUCAACAAAAUUUACUCACAAGGCAUUGGUUAUGAAAAUUAAUGAAAACUGAUAUCAUUUCCUUUCGCUGAAUGUGACAUAUCGAGUUCGUUUGAAAUUUUGAUCAAGUACAGGUGUAUACAUACAUACAUACAUACAUGCACACAUACAUACAUGCACACAUACAUACAUACACACAUACAUACAUACAUACAUACAUACAUACAUACAUACAUACAUACAUACAUACAUACAUACAUACAUACAUACAUACAUACAUACAUACAUACAUACAUAAUUAGAAUUCUCAAAACCAGAAAGGAGAAAGUUAAUUCGAAGAUUACAGAUCUAGAACUGUAAAAAUCUGUAAAACUUUCCAAAAGUUUAUCAUUUAAAUAUAUAUGAGCAUACCUAAACAUGUAACUAUAUGCACAGGAAUAUAUACACAAAGCAAAUCAUACAAAUCUGCACACAUACAUAUAUACAUGCAUGCAUGCACACAUACAUACAUACAUACAUACAUACAUACAUACAUACAUACAUACAUACAUACAUACAUACAUACAUGCAUACAUGUAUACAUACAUACAAAUAAAAAUACCCUAUUGUUGAUGUUGAAAUUUCAGUGAAGGAGCCUUGAAUCUAGGCUAGAAACCGGUUCUUUCUCUAUUGGCAAGAAAUCUUGAAAUAUAACUGAACAAUGACAUACAUACAUGGAUGUAUACACGCACACUUACACACACGUACACACACAUACACACAUACACACAUACACACACAUGUGAGUGUGUCUGAGUUUGUGUGUGUAGAAUAAAUAACAUUUUCCUUAUGAUAUUUGUAACUUUUUCAAUUGUUGUUGAUGUCUCGCCCAGAUCAGUCCUAAUUAAUACGAUCUAUGAUCACAGGCUUACCAACCGUGACAUUCCUUUAGAUUGCUUGACAUAGUUAUAUCACGUCGACACAUUCCAUCUGUGAUAAUACCCUCAGUUUUUUUCCCCAAAACAUGGCUACUACUUAGAGGCGUUCCAGCCAUGACCAGCAUGUCUUGUUUUCAAACGGUUAGAUGUGAUCUGAGAGAAAUUUAUUCGCCGCCUGUUCAAUAGGUCGAGCGACUUCGGAGAGGUUUCCUCAUUAGCAUGAACAGUUGUUUAGUCCAGUUCGACCCUGAGAAAGGAGGCUAAUGAUCAAAGAUAUUUCAAGUGUGGUCAUUUUAUAUAAGUGUGCUCUUUUCAAAGUCGACAUAGUGUGGUUUGAAGAAAAACUGGUUGCUAUAUUUAGCAAGUAGUGUGACUUCGUAGAUUUUCUUUCUAGUUGGUUCUCAGAGAGAAAUAUUCGGUGCGCUUUCAAAAUUUUGAAAAAAGAUUUUGCGUUUUAGUGGAGGGAAAAUAAAAUAUAUUGCUAUGACUUUCAUACCUUUUUCAAAAAUAUUAGAGCCAAUGUUGAGCGUCUACGCGGCUGCUUGAAGUAGCAGCAAAAAUUUGUCCUUACAUCUCACAAUAACGUCUUAAAAAUGCAAGGUCGCAUUGCUUAAUGCUGUUCUAGACACACUGGCUGGAAAUACUGCGUGAUCGCUAGAUCUGCUAGAAAGUGCUACCCUAUCUUCCUCAAGUAAAUAUCAUUUUUAAGAAGGGAUAUUGCAGUACUUGUACUAGAUAGACAAUAUAUUUAACUUAUAGGUAACCAUUCGACUGACCGGAAAUCGUUGCCAAAUGUUCCUGAAAUUACAGCCUAACGCCUACGAAAUGAAAGAAUGCAUCGAAUAAUGUAAACUCAGCUAGACUAUGUCUGAAGACAAACAUAAAGAUUGUUACGGUUAGAACGCUUUAUCAUCAUAAAUCUGUCAACCAAGGACGACCUACAUCUAGACAAUCGUGGCAACGUCAAAAACAUGAAUAGGUGUUAGUCAAGUGACAUGAUUUUAAGCGACAGGUGAUGGCUGGCUCAAUUUUCUUCUGCAACACUCGUCAUAUUGGACAUGACAUUUCUCAUAUUGACACAGAACAAAUUAUGGGUUGGUGGUAGGAGAGAUUUCUUGAUUAACAUCGACCUCAAAAAAUCCAUGGAACAAGCAUGAUUUGAACUUAGAUCGCAGAAAAACAAACCGAGAAUGACGACUGAUAAAAUUAGCGGAACUGGCUAAAACCGAAUAUUGUCUGGUCUCCUUCUUUACUGUUUCAAUUUUCGGGGUCUACUUUGUCUUUCAGGGGUUCAUAACCUUUCUCUCGAUCCCUAAGACCCAUGAAGAUGAUUACCUGGUUUCCGUGACCGAAUCACAAUAUUUCUGCCGAAUGGGACCCCGGUAUCUUACAGAGUAGCAGGCCAGUGAUUUUGAGGGGAGGAUCAUGUUGAUUACGUAAACUCUAAUACUUCACUGGAACUUUAUUUUAUCAACUUCGA